rnacentral:lncRNA from 1 species
AUGUUUCACUCGGGUUUGGGGUGUUUUUUUGGGGAGGGAGGGAGGGAGGGGUGGGACGACACGCAAGCACACACACAAGCUGCGUUUCCCCCGCGCUCGCUCGGCUAUCAUCACAGCGAUCCCUGGCCUCUGCGCGGAAGCACGUUUCGCCCCGUGAGGCUUUCUGACCGUCAUUAUAAAAUAUUCAUACUGUGCAUCGGCAAGGGUCUUCCAGUACAGACCUCCUACAAGGCACACUUCAGACUGUUUCAGAAGCUCACAAUUUAAAUAUGGUAAAGAUAGCCAAGGAAAAAAGAAGAAGGAAGUCCAUUUGCAGCAGAUUAAAUGAAGCCGACAAAUUGACUCUUUCUUAGUCCUGAUGCUCAAUAGUCCAAAUCUUCCCCUGUUUGUUUGUUUGGAUACUAUCAGGCAGAGGCUGAGCUGAAGCUAUAUUUACACCGAUCAGAUGGCCAGGAUGUUUAUGCUGACAGCUUGGCUGCUGCUGCUCCACGCAAAAAGAGGCUGAGUUCUGCUUUUCUUUCCCACGGUGGAAAAUUGAAUCUCUUGCUCUUUUUUUAUCCAGUCUCUAUUUUUUCCAAUUUGUGAGAACUGUUUAUCUUUGAAGCUUCAACCCCACUUUCUAACAUUGAUCAACAUUCAAAAGUUAUCAGAGGAAGAUCAGUAAGCGAGAGAAACCAGGCCAACCCCUUGCCCCAAACUGAAGACUGCCAGCAAAAUUAUUUAAAGCACAUGGAACAUCUUGUCACAAAACAUAGGAGUGGCAUCAUUCUGGAGAAGCCAAGCAUAGGGACACGGCAGAUCCUUCCUGAUACGUAGCCUGAAAAACGAUGCUAAGAGACUGAAAAUAUGAUAUAUAACAGAACAAGGAAUUAAUGAGGAUGUUCACUACAGCAGCCUAAAAGAGGAUGCAUGCAGUUAGAGGCCAAGGUAAUCAGGCAGAAGAUAGAUCUAUCUCUUGGGAUAAAUUAAAGAAAAUUUGGAAGAAGUAUCUGGAUUUCCUCCACCUGUUCUAGAGUUUUGGACAGAAACCUUCUGAGUAAAUCCAGGAUUUGAAAACCCUACUCUAAUGGAGCCAGUGAUUUAGAAAGCUCCAAGGAAUGUAACCAUCAUUACUCCCUGCCGAAAUAAAUCAACUCUGCGAGAUCGAGAAGGCA